CAUAGGUUAAUGAGGCGAACCGGGGGAACUGAAACAUCUAAGUACCCCGAGGAAAAGAAAUCAACCGAGAUUCCCCCAGUAGCGGCGAGCGAACGGGGAGGAGCCCAGAGCCUGAAUCAGUGUGUGUGUUAGUGGAAGCGUCUGGAAAGGCGCGCGAUACAGGGUGACAGCCCCGUACACAAAAAUGCACAUGCUGUGAGCUCGAUGAGUAGGGCGGGACACGUGGUAUCCUGUCUGAAUAUGGGGGGACCAUCCUCCAAGGCUAAAUACUCCUGACUGACCGAUAGUGAACCAGUACCGUGAGGGAAAGGCGAAAAGAACCCCGGCGAGGGGAGUGAAAAAGAACCUGAAACCGUGUACGUACAAGCAGUGGGAGCACGCUUAGGCGUGUGACUGCGUACCUUUUGUAUAAUGGGUCAGCGACUUAUAUUCUGUAGCAAGGUUAACCGAAUAGGGGAGCCGAAGGGAAACCGAGUCUUAACUGGGCGUUAAGUUGCAGGGUAUAGACCCGAAACCCGGUGAUCUAGCCAUGGGCAGGUUGAAGGUUGGGUAACACUAACUGGAGGACCGAACCGACUAAUGUUGAAAAAUUAGCGGAUGACUUGUGGCUGGGGGUGAAAGGCCAAUCAAACCGGGAGAUAGCUGGUUCUCCCCGAAAGCUAUUUAGGUAGCGCCUCGUGAAUUCAUCUCCGGGGGUAGAGCACUGUUUCGGCAAGGGGGUCAUCCCGACUUACCAACCCGAUGCAAACUGCGAAUACCGGAGAAUGUUAUCACGGGAGACACACGGCGGGUGCUAACGUCCGUCGUGAAGAGGGAAACAACCCAGACCGCCAGCUAAGGUCCCAAAGUCAUGGUUAAGUGGGAAACGAUGUGGGAAGGCCCAGACAGCCAGGAUGUUGGCUUAGAAGCAGCCAUCAUUUAAAGAAAGCGUAAUAGCUCACUGGUCGAGUCGGCCUGCGCGGAAGAUGUAACGGGGCUAAACCAUGCACCGAAGCUGCGGCAGCGACGCUUAUGCGUUGUUGGGUAGGGGAGCGUUCUGUAAGCCUGUGAAGGUGUGCUGUGAGGCAUGCUGGAGGUAUCAGAAGUGCGAAUGCUGACAUAAGUAACGAUAAAGCGGGUGAAAAGCCCGCUCGCCGGAAGACCAAGGGUUCCUGUCCAACGUUAAUCGGGGCAGGGUGAGUCGACCCCUAAGGCGAGGCCGAAAGGCGUAGUCGAUGGGAAACAGGUUAAUAUUCCUGUACUUGGUGUUACUGCGAAGGGGGGACGGAGAAGGCUAUGUUGGCCGGGCGACGGUUGUCCCGGUUUAAGCGUGUAGGCUGGUUUUCCAGGCAAAUCCGGAAAAUCAAGGCUGAGGCGUGAUGACGAGGCACUACGGUGCUGAAGCAACAAAUGCCCUGCUUCCAGGAAAAGCCUCUAAGCAUCAGGUAACAUCAAAUCGUACCCCAAACCGACACAGGUGGUCAGGUAGAGAAUACCAAGGCGCUUGAGAGAACUCGGGUGAAGGAACUAGGCAAAAUGGUGCCGUAACUUCGGGAGAAGGCACGCUGAUAUGUAGGUGAAGUCCCUCGCGGAUGGAGCUGAAAUCAGUCGAAGAUACCAGCUGGCUGCAACUGUUUAUUAAAAACACAGCACUGUGCAAACACGAAAGUGGACGUAUACGGUGUGACGCCUGCCCGGUGCCGGAAGGUUAAUUGAUGGGGUCAGCGCAAGCGAAGCUCUUGAUCGAAGCCCCGGUAAACGGCGGCCGUAACUAUAACGGUCCUAAGGUAGCGAAAUUCCUUGUCGGGUAAGUUCCGACCUGCACGAAUGGCGUAAUGAUGGCCAGGCUGUCUCCACCCGAGACUCAGUGAAAUUGAACUCGCUGUGAAGAUGCAGUGUACCCGCGGCAAGACGGAAAGACCCCGUGAACCUUUACUAUAGCUUGACACUGAACAUUGAGCCUUGAUGUGUAGGAUAGGUGGGAGGCUUAGAAGUGUGGACGCCAGUCUGCAUGGAGCCGACCUUGAAAUACCACCCUUUAAUGUUUGAUGUUCUAACGUUGACCCGUAAUCCGGGUUGCGGACAGUGUCUGGUGGGUAGUUUGACUGGGGCGGUCUCCUCCUAAAGAGUAACGGAGGAGCACGAAGGUUGGCUAAUCCUGGUCGGACAUCAGGAGGUUAGUGCAAUGGCAUAAGCCAGCUUGACUGCGAGCGUGACGGCGCGAGCAGGUGCGAAAGCAGGUCAUAGUGAUCCGGUGGUUCUGAAUGGAAGGGCCAUCGCUCAACGGAUAAAAGGUACUCCGGGGAUAACAGGCUGAUACCGCCCAAGAGUUCAUAUCGACGGCGGUGUUUGGCACCUCGAUGUCGGCUCAUCACAUCCUGGGGCUGAAGUAGGUCCCAAGGGUAUGGCUGUUCGCCAUUUAAAGUGGUACGCGAGCUGGGUUUAGAACGUCGUGAGACAGUUCGGUCCCUAUCUGCCGUGGGCGCUGGAGAACUGAGGGGGGCUGCUCCUAGUACGAGAGGACCGGAGUGGACGCAUCACUGGUGUUCGGGUUGUCAUGCCAAUGGCACUGCCCGGUAGCUAAAUGCGGAAGAGAUAAGUGCUGAAAGCAUCUAAGCACGAAACUUGCC
rnacentral:rRNA from 1 species